CUAGCUCACAUCUUCCUCUCGUCUCCGCUCACACCGUCGGUCGAGCAUCAAGCUGCAAAGCUUGCAUGCAUUCCAUUCUCCGUCUACUUCAAGCCAUAAGUUCCUUGAAUAGAUAAUAAGCCACCUAGCAUUUUUCUUCUCCUUCGUUCAGCCGAGCCACAAACACCAACGAGCUGAUUAACUGAUCCUUGGAGAGCAGAUUAAACCUCUUGCAUGUCACUGAAACUGUAAGCUCCUUGAGCAGGGAGCAAAGUACAUAGCUCAGCGUUUCCUCUUUUUCCUUGCUGGUCGGAGACUUCCUUCAAGGAGGUUCUGUCUUGUUAGUCAUCUCCUCCAUUGCAUGUGCGUGGGAUAGAGUUCUGGAAGGAAAAGUUGACUCCUUGGCCGAUUGGAAGCUGUUGUGUGUGUAGAAUCAAGAAACCGUCCGCGAACUUCUAAGAAAGUGGACUGAAUUGGUGAUACGUUGUUUAAAAAGUUGUAAACGUCACAGGAGGACGCAAAAGCAUAUGAAGACAUGAUUUUUGGAUAUUUGCUGUUAUGUGCUGCUGUUUGGACUUUGCUAUUGCCAUUAUUUGGUGGAUGACUGUAUUAAUUUAAGGAGU